GUCUUAGGGCUGGGAGGAGGACCUGCUGCCUGAGGAGAGGGAGGUUCCUCUGCUAAACCUCUACCUUACCACCAAGAGAGUGGAGGACAUCGCCCUGAGGCUCGUCUCCCUGCGCCAGGCCUUCACUACCCUGCUUGGUUCCACCCUGAGCAGGAACCAUCUGUUUGUGGCGGGAAAGGACCUCC